CAAGAAGAUCUUUCACUGAAGAGAGUUGAGAAGAGCUAUGUGGCUUCCUGAAAGUUUUGUCUAGAGCUGUAUAGGAAGAGCUUAGGAAAACACAAGAACAAUGCUUUAAAGUAUUGGAGAACCUGUUUACACGUAGCGUGGACGUGCUCUCUAAUGGAAAUGUGGCAGCAGUUCAGUAGCAGUUGCACAAGAUGAAAGGAUGUGCAGGCUGCUGCAUGUCCCUGCAUACAUAGGAGCUGAUUUCUGAAAGAACCUCUGAUUUUUAUCACUGAUAAAAU